AGCAAUUCUCUUUACUUUAAAAUAUCUGCAAGUGUUUGGAUUGAUACUGAUGUCUCCAGAUUUUAGUGAAAGCUGCUGGGCAGGUCCUAGUCACUCCCUGUCUCCAUGGCAGAUCAGAUGCGUGCAGAUGUCUGCAGGGAGAGGAUAGACCAUGGAACAGAUUGUCUUUGUAGGUGACACUCUACAGACACACACCAUUGAUGCAAACCAAGAACACUGUGGCUCCCGGAACCCCGCCUGAGCCUACACCUCUUCCAUUGCUGCUCAGAUAAUCAU